GUUCUUUAUGUUUUUGAUUGUUGCUCAGAAAGCCAUGAAGUUGCUACAGGCUUUCGAGCAAUAAUCACAAUCAGAAAGAAA
rfam:Zootermopsis nevadensis contig10011, whole genome shotgun sequence.